rnacentral:rRNA from 1 species
UACGUAGGGUGCGAGCGUUUGUCCGGAAUUAUUGGGCGUAAAGGGCUCGUAGGCGGUUUGUCGCGUCGGGAGUGAAAUCCACUGGCUUAACUGGUGGCUUGCUUUCGAUACGGGCAGACUGGAGGUAUGCAGGGGAGAACGGAAUUCCUGGUGUAGCGGUGAAAUGCGCAGAUAUCAGGAGGAACACCGGUGGCGAAGGCGGUUCUCUGGGCAUGUCCUGACGCUGAGGAGCGAAAGUGUGGGAGGCGAACAGG